UACGAAGGGGGCUAGCGCUGCUCGGAAUUACUGGGCGUAAAGGGCGCGUAGGCGGGUCGUUUAGUUAGAGGUGAAAGCCCAGGGCUCAACCCUGGAAUUGCCUUUAAUACUGGCGGCCUUGAGUAUGGCAGAGGUGUGUGGAACUCCGAGUGUAGAGGUGAAAUUCGUAGAUAUUCGGAAGAACACCAGUGGCGAAGGCGACACACUGGGCCAUUACUGACGCUGAGGCGCGAAAGCGUGGGGAGCAAACAGG
rnacentral:rRNA from 1 species